GAUGAAGAACGUAGCGAAAUGCGAUAAGUAAUGUGAAUUGCAGAAUUCAGUGAAUCAUCGAAUCUUUGAACGCACAUUGCGCCCGCCAGUAUUCUGGCGGGCAUGCCUGUUCGAGCGUCAUUUCAACCAUCAAGCCCCCCGGCUUGUGUUGGGGACCUGCGGCUGCCGCAGGCCCUGAAAAGCAGUGGCGGGCUCGCUGUCACACCGAGCGUAGUAGAUCUCAUCUCGCUCAGGGCGUGCUGCGGGUUCCGGCCGUUAAACCACCUUCAUAACCCAAGGUUGACCUCGGAUCAGGUAGGAAGACCCGCUGAACUUGAGCAUAUCAAUAAGCGGAGGA
rnacentral:misc_RNA from 1 species